rnacentral:rRNA from 1 species
UAGUCCACGUCCUAAACGAUGCUAACUCGAUAUCUGUAUUUAUAUGGGUGUCUAAGGGAAACCAAUAAGUUAGCCACCUGGGGAGUACGUUCGCAAGAAUGAAACUCAAAGGAAUUGACGGGGUCCGCACAAGCGGUGGAGCAUGUGGUUUAAUUCGAUGAUACGCGAGGAACCUUACCUAGGCUCGAAUGCGAGUGCUAUCUGCUGAAAGGCGGAGUUUCUUCGGAACACAAAGCAAAGGUGCUGCAUGGUUGUCGUCAGCUCGUGCCGUGAGGUGUUGGGUUAAGUCCCGCAACGAGCGCAACCCUUAUUACUAGUUGCCAGCAUUUCGGAUGGGGACUCUAGUAAAACUGCCGGCGCAAGCCGUGAGGAAGGUGGGGAUGACGUCAAAUCAUCAUGGGCCUUUAUGCCUAGGGGCUGCACACGUGCUACAAUGGGAUGAGACAGAGGGUUGCUAACCCGCAAGGGGUGU